AUGCAGGUCGAACGGUAACAGGCAAAGCUUGCUUUGCGCUGACGAGUGGCGGACGGGUGCGUAACGCGUGGGAAUCUGCCUUAUAGUGGAGGAUAGCCCGGUGAAAACCGGAUUAAUACUGCAUAAGCCCUACGGGGGAAAGCUGGGGAUCUUCGGACCUGGCGCUAUUAGAUGAGCCCGCGUUAGAUUAGCUUGUUGGUGAGGUAAUGGCUCACCAAGGCAACGAUCUAUAGCUGGUCUGAGAGGACGAUCAGCCACACUGGGACUGAGACACAGCCCAGACUCCUACGGGAGGCAGCAGUGGGGAAUAUUGCACAAUGGGCGCAAGCCUGAUGCAGCAAUACCGCGUGUGUGAAGAAGGCCUGAGGGUUGUAAAGCACUUUCAAUUGUGAAGAAAAGUUGUUGGUUAAUAACCUUCAACCUUGACGUUAACAAUACAAGAAGCACCGGCUAACUCCGUGCCAGCAGCCGCGGUAAUACGGAGGGUGCAAGCGUUAAUCGGAAUUACUGGGCGUAAAGAGUACGUAGGCGGCUCGUUAAGUCAGAUGUGAAAGCCCAGGGCUCAACCUUGGAACUGCAUUUGAAACUGGCAAGCUAGAGUAUGGUAGAGGGGGGUAGAAUUUCUGGUGUAGCGGUGAAAUGCGUAGAUAUCAGAAGGAAUACCAGUGGCGAGGGCGGCCCCCUGGCCCAAUACUGACGCUGAGGUACGAAAGCGUGGGUAGCGAACGGGAUUAGAUACCCCGGUAGUUCACGCCGUAAACGAUGUCAACUAGCCGU
rnacentral:rRNA from 1 species